rnacentral:rRNA from 1 species
GGGGGCCCGCACAAGCGGCGGAGCAUGCGGAUUAAUUCGAUGCAACGCGAAGAACCUUACCAAGGCUUGACAUGGGCCGGACCGGGCUGGAAACAGUCCUUCCCCUUUGGGGCCGGUUCACAGGUGGUGCAUGGUUGUCGUCAGCUCGUGUCGUGAGAUGUUGGGUUAAGUCCCGCAACGAGCGCAACCCUCGUUCCAUGUUGCCAGCGCGUAAUGGCGGGGACUCAUGGGAGACUGCCGGGGUCAACUCGGAGGAAGGUGGGGACGACGUCAAAUCAUCAUGCCCCUUAUGUCUUGGGCUUCACGCAUGCUACAAUGGCCGGUACAAAGGGUUGCGAUACUGUGAGGUGGAGCUAAUCCCAAAAAGCCGGUCUCAGUUCGGAUUGGGGUCUGCAACUCGACCCCAUGAAGUCGGAGUCGCUAGUAAUCGCAGAUCAGCAACGCUGCGGUGAAUACGUUCCCGGGCCUUGUACACACCGCCCGUCAAGUCACGAAAGUUGGUAACACCCGAAGCCGGUGGCCUAACCCCUUGUGGGAGGGAGCUGUCGAAGGUGGGACUGGCGAUUGGGACUAA